rnacentral:rRNA from 1 species
CCUACUGCUAUCGGGGUGGGACUAAAACAUGCAAGUCGAGCGCCUCCAAGCUAUGGUGAAGGCGCGGCAAACGGCUCAGUAACACGUGGCCAACCUACCCUUGGGACGGAGACAACCCCGGGAAACUGGGGCUAAUCCCCGAUAGGUGAGGAAUCCUGGAAUGGACCCUCGCCCAAAAGACGUUGAGUCCAUGCUAUUCAGCGUCGCCCAAGGAUGGAGCCGCGACCGAUCAGGUAGUUGGUGAGGCAACGGCUCACCAAGCCUAUAACCGGUACGGGCCGUGAGAGCGGGAGCCCGGAGAUGGGCACUGAGACAAGGGCCCAGGCCCUACGGGGCGCAGCAGUUGCGAAAACUCCGCAAUGCGCGAAAGCGUGACGGGGCUACCCCGAGUGCCGCCCGUUGAGGGCGGCUUUUCCACGGUGUAAGGAGCCGUGGGAAUAAGGAGAGGGCAAGACUGGUGUCAGCCGCCGCGGUAAUACCAGCUCUCCGAGUGGUGGGGACGAUUAUUGGGCUUAAAGCGUUCGUAGCCGGCUUAACAAGUCUUCCGUUAAAUCCAACGAUCUAAUCGUUGGGCUGCGGGAGAUACUGUUGGGCUAGGAGGCGGGAGAAGCCGACGGUAUUCUCGGGGUAGGGGUGAAAUCCUGUAAUCCCGGGAGGACCACCAGUGGCGAAGGCGGUCGGCUAGAACGCGCUCGACGGUGAGGGACGAAAGCUGGGGGAGCGAACCGGAUUAGAAACCCGGGUAGUCCCAGCUGUAAACGAUGCGGGCUAGGUGUUGGGGUGGCCACGAGCCACUUCAGUGCCGCAUGGAAGCAAUUAAGCCCGCCGCCUGGGGAGUACGGCCGCAAGGCUGAAACUUAAAGGAAUUGGCGGGG